GAUGAACGCUGGCGGCGUGCCUAAUACAUGCAAGUAGAACGCUCAAGGAGGAGCUUUCUCUUCUGGAUGAUUUGCGAACGGGUGAGUAACGCGUAGGUAACCUGCCUGUUAGCGGGGGAUAACUAUUGGAAACGAUAGCUAAUACCGCAUGACAACAGUUAUUGCAUGAUAACCGUUUAAAAGGGGCAACUGCUCCACUACCAGAUGGACCUGCGUUGUAUUAGCUAGUUGGUGAGGUAACGGCUCACCAAGGCGACGAUACAUAGCCGACCUGAGAGGGUGAUCGGCCAACCUUGGACUGGGACACGGCCCAGACUCCCAAGGGAGGCAACCGUAGGGAAACUUCGGGAAAGGACGGAAGUCUGAACGAGCAAAGGCGGGGGGGUGAAGAAGGGUUUCGGAUCGGAAAGAUCUGUUGUAAGAGAAGAAAGAGUGUGAGAGUUGAAAGUUCACGCUGUGACGGUAUCUAAUCAGAAAGGGACGGCUAACUACGUG
rnacentral:rRNA from 1 species